GACGAACGCUGGCGGCGUGCUUAACACAUGCAAGUCGAACGGUGAAGCGCUUUCCUUUUUGGUUGGUGUGGAUGAGUGGCGAACGGGUGAGUAACACGUGAGUAACCUGCCCCCUUCUUCUGGAUAACCGCAUGAAAGUGUGGCUAAUACGGGAUAUUCUGCGCCUGCUGCAUGGUGGGUGUGGGAAAGAUUGUGCCUUUGGGUGUUUUCGGUGGGGGAUGGGCUCGCGGCCUAUCAGCUUGUUGGUGGGGUGAUGGCCUACCAAGGCGGUGACGGGUAGCCGGCCUGAGAGGGUGGACGGUCACACUGGGACUGAGACACGGCCCAGACUCCUACGGGAGGCAGCAGUGGGGAAGAUUGCACAAUGGGCGCAAGCCUGAUGCAGCGACGCCGCGUGAGGGAUGGAGGCCUUCGGGGUGUGAACCUCUUUCGCCAGUGAAGCAGGCCUGCUCCUUGUGGGUGGGUUGACGGUAGCUGGAUAAGAAGCGCCGGCUAACUACGUG
rnacentral:rRNA from 1 species